rnacentral:rRNA from 1 species
UACGGAGGAUCCGAGCGUUAUCCGGAUUUAUUGGGUUUAAAGGGUGCGUAGGCGGCACUUUAAGUCAGGGGUGAAAGACGGCAGCUCAACUGUCGCAGUGCCCUUGAUACUGAAGUGCUUGAAUGCGGUUGAAGACGGCGGAAUGAGACAAGUAGCGGUGAAAUGCAUAGAUAUGUCUCAGAACACCGAUUGCGAAGGCAGCUGUCUAAGCCGUUAUUGACGCUGAUGCACGAAAGCGUGGGGAUCGAACAGGAUUAGAAACCCUUGUAGU